rnacentral:rRNA from 1 species
GGAUGCGAUCAUACCAGCACUAAAGCACCGGAUCCCAUCAGAACUCCGAAGUUAAGCGGGAAGUCCUCGUGUUGCAUUCC